UAGAGUUUGAUCAUGGCUCAGAUUGAACGCUGGCGGUAGGCUUAACACAUGCAAGUCGUGCGAGAAAGUAUCUUCGGAUAUGAGUAGAGCGGCGGACGGGUGAGUAACGCGUAGGAAUCUACCUAGUAGAAGGGGAUAGCCCGGGGAAACUCGGAUUAAUACCGUAUACCUCCUUCGGGAGAAAGAAGGCCUCUCUUUGAAGCUUUCGCUAUUAGAUGAGCCUGCGUAAGAUUAGCUUGUUGGUGAGGUAAAGGCUCACCAAGGCGACGAUCUUUAGCGGGUCUGAGAGGACGAUCCGCCACAUUGGGACUGAGACACGGCCCAGACUCCUACGGGAGGCAGCAGUGGGGAAUAUUGGACAAUGGGCGCAAGCCUGAUCCAGCCAUACCGCGUGUGUGAAGAAGGCCCUAGGGUUGUAAAGCACUUUAAGUUGGGAAGAAAAGUUAUUGGUUAAUACCCAAUAACCGUGACAUUACCAUCAGAAUAAGGACCGGCUAAUUCCGUGCCAGCAGCCGCGGUAAUACGGAAGGUCCAAGCGUUAAUCGGAAUUACUGGGCGUAAAGCGCGCGUAGGUGGUUUAUUAAGUUGGAUGUGAAAUCCCCGGGCUCAACCUGGGAACUGCAUCCAAAACUGAUUCACUAGAGUACGAUAGAGGGAGGUAGAAUUCACAGUGUAGCGGUGGAAUGCGUAGAUAUUGUGAAGAAUACCAAUGGCGAAGGCAGCCUCCUGGAUCUGUACUGACACUGAGGUGCGAAAGCGUGGGUAGCGAACAGGAUUAGAUACCCUGGUAGUCCACGCCGUAAACGAUGUCAACUAGCUGUUGGAGAACUAUGUUCUUCAGUGGCGCAGCUAACGUAGUAAGUUGACCGCCUGGGGAGUACGGCCGCAAGGCUAAAACUCAAAUGAAUUGACGGGGACCCGCACAAGCGGUGGAGCAUGUGGUUUAAUUCGAUGCAACGCGAAAAACCUUACCUAUACUUGACAUACUUGGAAUGCUUUGUAAUGAAGCAGUGCCUUCGGGAGCCAAGAUACAGGUGCUGCAUGGCUGUCGUCAGCUCGUGUCGUGAGAUGUUCCGUUAAGUCGGAUAACGAGCGCAACCCUUACCCUUAUUUGCCAGCGAUUCGGUCGGGAACUAUAAGGGGACUGCCGGUGAUAAACCGGAGGAAGGUGAGGACGACGUCAAGUCAUCAUGGCCCUUACGUAUAGGGCUACACACGUGCUACAAUGGAGAAUACAGACGGACGCUAAGCCGCGAGGUGGUGCUAAUCCUAGAAAAUUCUUCGUAGUCCGGAUUGGAGUCUGCAACUCGACUCCAUGAAGUCGGAAUCGCUAGUAAUCGCGAAUCAGCAUGUCGCGGUGAAUACGUUCUCGGGUCUUGUACACACCGCCCGUCAUACCAUGGAAGUGGAUUGCACCAGAAGUAGAUAGUCUAACCUUCGGGAGGGCGUUUACCACGGUGUGCUUCAUGACUGGGGUAAAGUCGUAACAAGGUA
rnacentral:rRNA from 1 species